ACGAGCGAACUAUGUUUUCUCCUUGCCUUGUUACGCGGGAGUGAUGUGCCCGCGCGGCGACGCGGCCACGCGGCUGCGUCGCUCCGUCGUCUGCCGGGUUUCUUCCCUAUGCUCCCACUUCAUCCCGUUCUCGAAGCAAGGUUCGCGAGGACGCGAAUGGUUACGUUGCACCGGGCAAGAAAACGACCGCCGAGGACCUCCUCCACAUUCCUCGUUUCCGUGCGGACACCUUCGAGGCGUUCGCCAGCGGUGACCGUAGUCUGCUGUACCGACGCUUCUGCUUCCCGUCGCCGACGGGACCGAGCGAGGGACCCGCGAAAAAGUCCUGGUCCUAGUCUCAGCAGCUGGACUGCUGCAUCCUGCAAGGCAGAAAGGAUCCUGAGGGACUGCACUGUCGAGAUGAAUCUCCCUGGUCGUGGAGGAGCCAGUACCGUUGGAUACUUUCGACUCUGCCGUCCCCUACUGCAGCAGCGAGGUGCCAUACAACUGCAUAUUUCCUGCUCCCAGCAGCACGCCAGACUCUGAGGCGACAUACUCUCCAUCCAACCCUGCCAAAGGUUUCGAGAGACAUCCUGAAGAGGCUACACCUUGGCAAAGCAGCUCUCCUGUUGGUCUUUAAUAAAUGGGGCUUUCAUCGAGGAGGUAGACUGGAACUGUAUAAACCAAACCCAGGCAACUGUGCAUGACAGCACAAACAUUUAGCACAAGUUCGAUGCCAUUCAGACUUACAGAGCUAAACAUAUUUUCCAGUCUACACUACGGUUUCCCCUCCCAUCUGCAACAUUGUCUCCUCUCGAUAAUUCAGUGGUUCAUGCCUUGCUAACCUUUGAGGAAACAAAUGAAAAUAGUUUUAGCCAAAGCCGAAUGAUUAUGCAGAGGUUUGUUCGGAGAGUAGAACUUUUGCCAAGCACCAAGAAGCAUGCUGGAAGUGCAUUUACGCACGGCAUCUACAAGAGUAACUGUUGCAGAUGCCAAGACAUGCGCACUCAGCAUUUGCCUAUGUCCCCACCAUUCUCUUUUGUGCCUUGGCAAAAAGGUUUGAUUUCAACCACUGAAAGGAAUGUCAGUUAUUCAUUUACUGGGUAACUCGUAUGUGCCUUGAAGGAGCAAAAACAAACCUUGUUCCUAAACAGCGUAGUGUAUGAGCCUUCCCAGCCAAUGUGGCUCUGCGAACCUCACA